UACGUAGGGCGCAAGCGUUGUCCGGAAUUAUUGGGCGUAAAGAGCUCGUAGGCGGUUUGUCGCGUCUGCUGUGAAAACUCGAGGCUCAACCUCGGGCUUGCAGUGGGUACGGGCAGACUAGAGUGCGGUAGGGGAGACUGGAAUUCCUGGUGUAGCGGUGAAAUGCGCAGAUAUCUGGAGGAACACCGGUGGCGAAGGCGGCAUCCUGGACCGGCAUUGACGCUGAGGCGCGAAAGCGUGGGUAGCAAACAGG
rnacentral:rRNA from 1 species